UGCGGGUUAUCCAAACAAAUCGUGGCUCUUGACCCCAUUGUCUAAUCCUGUUGGUAGAGCAGAAAAACGUUACCAAGAGACACACAUUGCAUCGAGGCAAAUAAUUGAACGUGCCUUCGGUGUACUUAAAAGCCGGUUUCGAUGUUUAGACACUUCCGGCGAUGCUCUUUUGUACUCACCGGCGAAGGUUUGCGGCAUGGUAAAUGCAUGUUGUAUUUUACACAACAUAUGUGUCGCAAACCGUUUGCCGGUGACUCUUCGUCGCAGUGCUUUCCGACGCGGGAACCGUUCUUCUGCUGUACCGGUGGGUAUGGAUGAAGGAGAUGAUUCCCGGCGGACAGUGAUACAAAACUUUUUUUCGGUUGCCUAGUUUUACGUCCUGUUGAUGUGCAUUCCCAGGCCUGUUUUGUCCUGUUGACGAAUCGUUACCCCCUGUUUUCUCCUGUUGUUGGUUUGCUGCAAAUUUUGGACCAUUUUAUCCAACUCUACCAUGGGCGACCUACUUGUGAUGUGGACCUGACCCUCCGCCAUGUAGCAGACAACCCCCCUCAGGUCUUGCGGUGUUUCCUUCCCAAGUGGCGUGGAUGUGAAGAGACACACAGUUCCCCUGAUGUUCCAUGUGCGACCUACUUCUGUACAAUUCAACUUCAUAUCAAAUAUUUUUUAAUAAAAACCACAGAAAACUUCUCUUUUUAAAAAUUUAUUGAAGAAAAAUUGUAAGGUAAUAAAACAAAAAAGUA